rnacentral:sRNA from 1 species
GGUCGUAAGGAUGAUCAGGCUGCAACAUCUGUCACCCCACUGCAUGGAUCACCUGGGUUGACUUGGCUGCCCUGGCUGGCUGGACAGAUGUCCCCUUCUGCAUAACUGCUUCACGUGUGUCCCUCCCGAAGCUGGCUUCGGGUCAAAGAGACGACCACCCCCAAUAGAGGAAGGCCGGCCCCUCAGUCAAGAGCCUGCAAGUCAGCUGCACUUCCUGCUAGAACCUCCAUGCAAGCACUCAAGNNNNNNNNNNN